UGUCUUCAGGUGGCGCUUGUCUGAUCAUCAAUGCUUGAAAAGGGUGAGAAAUCUCAGAAGUCUGAUGGAAGUGAGCACUUUAAGACAAGCUGCUUCUAUCUGAUGUGGAGUUUGCUCUGGCUGUUCAUACUGGUCCUUUUUGCCUGGCCUUUCAGCAUGGCCUUGGCAGGCCUUUAUGGAUUUGUCUCCCCUUUCAUCACGUUGGUGGGACUCGAUGACGUUAGCGACGCCCUGCUGCAAGGAGUAAAUGUGGGGAGAGAGUGUGCUCAGAACGUCAGAAACGGCAAGCCCAUGUGUUGAAGAUGGCGCUAUGUCUGGCAAGGAUUCUGCUGCUCACUCCAUCAAAUGUCACACCAUCGUGUUCAUCAAAUGUCACACCAUUGUGAAUUUCUCAUUUUUACACGGUGAAUUAAAGAGCUUUUAUUUCAAUGUAAAAGGUUUUUGGCAAUUCCCCCCGCCCCACACACACUUAAUAAUCUAUGAAGGACACUGAUUUAAUACGACUGUUUUAUAAGCUUACAGUGGAGGUUGUGAUCUUUCAUAUCUACACAAUGAGUUAUGAUGACAACCUUAUCUCUGGAAAUACAACAUUCUGAAAUAUUGCCUGGGAGAGAGGACAGGGCCAGGACACUGUGGCCAGUCUGUGCUUUGAUUGUGUCCCUAUGGACUGGGGAAUGGAUUGUUCUCACCAGAAACUAAGCAGCCGCCAUCCAACUGAAACCGCUUGUGCUCAUUAGCUGGUGAGAAGGUGUGAUCAGAUAUUUCUCCCUGGGGAACUGAUUAGAGUCACCACUGGUGGCCAGGGGGAGAGGACAGACUGCAUAGGCAAGCAAGCAGCCAGUGACAACACAUAAUCCAGGAGGCAAUCUCUGCAGCACAGGCAGGGUUCAAGUUUUGCAAGUUCAAUUUCACCAGUUUUGAGAGAGAUCAGUGUAGGUUCCUCCACACAGAACAUUAUGUUCCACUGUCAAUUGGAUCUGGCUGUACUUCAUGUGCAUGCCUCCUUCCAAUCGUCCACAGCCUCCUUCAUGUCAACAGCAGAACCCCCAGAACAACAAGAACAUAUCCAGAUUUGCUGCCCAACAGCACAAUAUUCAGAACUUCCCUAUGUUUUUUCCUCCCUGUGAAUAAAUGACUUAGAGAGAGAGGGUUUUUGUUAGAU
rnacentral:lncRNA from 1 species